GAGAGAGAGAGAGAGAGAGAGAGAGAGAGAGAGAGAGAUUGGAGAAAAAACUUUUCCGAACUUCGAAUUCCGCCUUCAGUUGCAGACUCGAGAGUCACCGUGAUCAGUACAGAAGGGACUUUGGAUUCGCUGUAACUGAAGUCACAGGCAGUUGUGAGCUGCAGUACAUGGGUAUGAGGAUCGUCUAGAAGAACAUCAGGUUCUCAUUGUGUGGCCCUGCUUCAUAGAGGACUCCCACAAAGGGCCUGGAUGUCACAGCACAACAAUGAUGAGGACAAGUGAGACACAGUAGAAGGUUGGCUCUAGCUGGGAGUUACUUCUGGUUCCUGAAUUCCGACUCUGCCUCCCAAGAUCUUUGAGUGUUUGCCUACAUGUAAGUGCACCUUGUGGAUACCUGGUUCAUAUGGAGUUCAGAAGACAGUGUCAGAUGCCCUGGAACUGACUCACAGCCUAUUGUGAAACAUCCCGUGGGUACUGAGAACCAAACCCAGGUCCUCUGGAAGAACAGUCAGUGCUCUUAACCAUGGAGCCAUCUUCCUAGUCCAUGUGGCUGCAUUCUAAUGAGGUCCUUUUGCUGAGUCUGCAAGUGGAGAAGGGAAAGAAAAGAACCAAGAGAGAAGGUCCCCGGCAUCUCUUCAUAUAGGAUACUGUUCUUAUAGGAUCAAGUUCCAGCCUUAUGAACUUAUUUAACCUGUUUCCUUCCUUAGGGGCCCCUCUCCAGACAUAGCUAACCUGGGGACUAUGUGAGUUGGGGGAGCUAUUAACAUUUAACACCCAAGUAUGUUUUUGUGUGUACUUUGUUUAUUUGACUUUGCUUGUUUGUUUUUUAUGCUUGUCCUGCAUCUACAAUCCUCCUGUAUCACCCAGAAUCCUAGGAUUACAGGUGUACACCACUAUACCUGGGCACCAGUACAUUCUUGGAUGUAUGCGUCUUUCAUGACUUCAAGUUCACAAACGUUACUUUCUAUAUCAUCUAUGUUUCUUUCAGAAGAAUUCAGCUGCGGCUAGACAUGUCAAAGACUUGAGCAAUAUAUAAAUAAAAUUUGAUUUUACUAUUUAGUAUACACUUAGUUUACUUAUUGCUUAUUGAGUUGGUUCUCUAACUUUCUGAGUGCAUUCUAGGUUAAGCGCUCUACCACAGAGUUACAGACUCGGCCCAGAUUUUACAGAUUUACAACUCAAAAGACACGAAGUAAAACUGCUGUAACACAUGAGCAUGAAAGAGAGCAAUGAUAUAAGAUUGAAAAGGUGAUGAAACCUUUCAAACCUCCAGGCUUUUGUUGAAAGAGAUUAAUAGCGACUCCUCACAUUGGAACGGCAAUAAAAUUGGGAAGUAGAGCGAUCAAACCUCUAAUCUGAUGGCAUUCCAUCUUGACUGCUGUGGACUAACACUGAAAACUGAAAUCAUACUUCUGGUAUGAAUUGAUAAAGGAGUCCAAUUGUUAUGGAUAUGUGUGUAUACAUAUGCCAAAAUGUUAGAAAUUGUCAGCUAGAAGAGAUGCCGAGAUACAGAACAGCACGUAUAAAACCUUGGUUAGAUCAUCUAACAAUGGAGAAAAUGGAGAAAUUUCUACAGUAGAAAUUCUUUGACUAUCGAACCUGGAAAGGUAUGGAAGUCAAACAUUUACUUGCAUUAUUAGAGUCAAACUUUUUUUAUUGGAAAUAACUUUAAAGAGCACUCUGAUGUAUUCACUAUUCCUCCCGGUCCAUUUUCUCCUUCUGCUCUUCUUCCAUGCUGAAAGGUGAACACCGGGCCUGAAGGAAAAGCCUUCAGCACUAAGCGACACUCACAACACUUAGAGGAGAUCCGAAACCAACUCUUCUCACUUGAAAGAAGAAAACAUGGAAACUAGGUUAGCGUGUGGUUUGUCCACAGCUACACAUCAAAGACAUUGACAAGAUUAUUCUGAUAUUUAGGCAACUCAUAAUUUUUCUUUGGAACCAGUUUUCAAGACUAAAACAAGGGACUGAAGGAAGGUGGAAGUUAGAUUUAGAAUCUGAUUCCGGGACUAGACAAGAUGCACAAUGCUGGUGUGGACAAGAAAUGAAGCUCAGCCACGGCCAUGGCUGAGUGAGUCAUUCUAAUAAUAGACCAGAUAGCAACCGAGCCAACUUCAUAAAAGUAAGCCAUCCAAGCUGGCUGAAGGGAGACCUUGAGUCAUAGAAAUGUAGGCACAAUGAAUAGAUUUCAGAAGUUCAGUCUGGCUAGCUAAAAUGGGUUGGGAAAUAACAGAAAUAAUAAUGUUUCCAGUAAGAGUAGUUUUUACUGAAUGCUAUCUCCUAGUCAUGAUACUAGUAUCUCACAUAAUUCUCAGCUUAAAAUUUCAAAAAAAAAAUUAGUAGAAAUAAUGAUCCAUUUAGUAAAGAAGCAAACCAGGGUAUUUUGGGAGAGCAGGAACUUGAUUUGCAGAAGUUCAAAUCCCGUCACUGAGGGAGGGAGGAAGAAUUUGAAGAUAGCUAGUUCUAACAUCAACAGCUGAAGAGCCAAGACUCAUUGGUAGGUAUGCAGUGUGGGGCUCCCACAAACUGUCAAUGAAUUUGAAUACAGUAAGUUACCCAGAACCUACAUCUAAAAUUGUCUUUAAGUCAUAAGUUAGCUGAUAGUUAACAUCUCCUGUUGAUUUGAGGUUAUUUUCAUAUUAUGUUUCCUUUUCACUGUAGAUGUUAAAAAAAAUGGUAGUGGUGAUUGGAUCUUGUCAAACAAUUAGUUCUGGACAGUUAGUGUUUAUACAAAACAAUAAUCAAGUAAUUUGAAUAGUAGUUAAAUAUUUAUUCUUUCAAUAAGUAUUUAUUGAGUGCCCAUGGUAUGCCAGGCUCCAUUCUAGAUGCCAGAGAUACCACCAUCUCUAUUUUGAUGGGACUUAGAUUCUAAUGAAGCUGAAAUACAAUAACUAAACAGCUAACCAAAUAUGGUGAUUUCAGAUGGCAGCAAACACGCUAUGAAAAAAAUAAGAAAGGCUGACACACGGGAGGCAGAAGGAAUUGAUCUCUUUAUCAGCUUCCCUUUUUUAAAAUAUGUAUGAGGAUCUUCUUAUAAUACAGAAUACUCAUCAGAACUUGGUUUACUAUUUUUUUUUAAUUAAAAAAAAACUUUAUUAUAGUCACUCAGUGGUGGCGCACGCCUUUGAU